rnacentral:lncRNA from 1 species
CCAGAUAUUCCCUGCAGAAAAAAAACAGCCCAGCUAUGCAUGUGCAUCAGACCACAAUAAAAACAUGCAUGCUCGACAAACAUAUAAAGAAGCCGGAGAGUAUAUAUUAGAGAUGUGAGAGUAUAUUAGACAGAAUAGUGAUGAAUCAAUCUAUUAGAUGUAGGAAAUGUAUAUUUGUUAGAUUAGGUUCUCUCGUUGAUUAAAUGAUUUAUGGUCAGAUUUUAAUCCUUACACCAUACAAUGGAUCUGGUUGCAUUUAACAAAAGUAUUUAAUGGGAAAAUUGUUAGAAAAAGUUAAAGGUAUGAUACAGAAAAUAAUCUUGGGUACGAAGUUCGCCAACGAGAUAGCACAUAGUCACAUACAUAAACAAAGCGAGGGCCAUCUGAGAACUCAUAGGGCAACUCUGCCACGCGAUGGAAGUUAGGAGUCACCGGCAAACAUGACAAAUAAAUUAGCUCCCGCCUUGAAACAAACCGGCUAAUACGCUCAGGAUCAUCAAGUUGUUUCAAUAUGUGACGUACCUGCAGACAUGAUAAGGAAAUAAGAUUUUAACCAUAAUAAAUAAUGUAAAAGUAUAUGGUCAGAUGCUCGCCAUUUUCUUUUGAAAGAAACUUAGCAUAGCAAUACCAAUGCACUGGCCAACAAGAAUAUGCAUACCACCUUCCAAAAGAAGCUUUGAGAAAAUAGCAUUGGCCCAGUUGCCCUUAUCACUUAAUUAUAUUUACAUCCACAUACCAUGCACUGAACAAAAC